UGACCGCUGGCGGCGUGCCUACUACAUGCAAGUCGAGCGAACAGAUGAGGAGCUUGCUCCUCUGACGUUAGCGGCGGACGGGUGAGUAACACGUGGAUAACCUACCUAUAAGACUGGGAUAACUUCGGGAAACCGGAGCUAAUACCGGAUAAUAUAUUGAACCGCAUGGUUCAAUAGUGAAAGACGGUUUUGCUGUCACUUAUAGAUGGAUCCGCGCCGCAUUAGCUAGUUGGUAAGGUAACGGCUUACCAAGGCAACGAUGCGUAGCCGACCUGAGAGGGUGAUCGGCCACACUGGAACUGAGACACGGUCCAGACUCCUACGGGAGGCAGCAGUAGGGAAUCUUCCGAAAUGGGCGAAAGCCUGACGGAGCAACGCCGCGUGAGUGAUGAAGGUCUUCGGAUCGUAAAACUCUGUUAUUAGGGAAGAACAAAUGUGUAAGUAACUAUGCACGUCUUGACGGUACCUAAUCAGAAAGCCACGGCUAACUACGUG
rnacentral:rRNA from 1 species